GAACAUAACAUGCAUUUGGCCUAAGACACAAUUAAGAUAUUUAUAAAAAUUUGUCAAUAUUUUAUCAACUUUUUUUCUUUUUCAUUUACUUUUUUAUUUUCCUAUUUUAAGGUUUCUUUCUUGUCUACACACAUUUAAAGGAACAAAAAUAAGAAAAAAUUUACAUCAAAAUAAGCAAAAUGACUGAAGUCUCAGCCAAGAUUGACUUAUGUCAGAACUGUUACUUUGACAUGAGAAAACGAGACCAUAGAUUUGAAGAAGUGAAACAGUACUUCAAGAAAGAGCAACACAAGUAACACCUUUUUCAUGAAACAUUAAACAAACAUGAAUAUACCGUUUGAUAACCAUUGUGUUGCUUAAUAUAUUUGCAAUACAUACA
rnacentral:lncRNA from 12 species